rnacentral:tRNA from 1 species
AUAGCUCAGUGGUUAAGAGCACUGGCUAGUGUCACAGAGGGCUUGGGUUCAAUUCCCAGU